CGGAGGAUCAAGCGAUCAGUGUGAGACGUUACCUUGGUGAUGGAGUCAUCAGUCUGCUGCUCGGUGCUGCUGGAUGAGGUGGAGGAGGCCCCCUCCACUUUGAUCUCGGUUUGGUUUCUAGCAGCUACGAGGAGUUCACUCAGCGGGUCCUUCUGCUUCUCCUCCUUGGAAACGUCCCACCUCGACCUCCUCCCAGCUUCUGGAGGCUUUGGAGGAGCUGAAGGGGAGGAAGAGAAGGAGGAGCAGUAAGAGAACAGAGGAAUGAGGAGGAAGAAGUGGCAAAAUCUUAUAUUAUGAUUAUAAAAAUGUCAAACUAGAACUAAUAAUCAUCAUAAUAACAACAAUAACCAUCUAAAAACAUGACUGGUUCUAGAAUAUGUUGUAGACCAGAGUCACUGCGACCUACUGAGGACCAGCGAGGCUGACUGGAGUCACCGGGAUCUAGAAUGAAACGUGUCUGUUCGUGAUCAACGAUCAAUCGCUAAUUAACACAACCAAGUGUCCGACUGGUGGGGACGGGUGGACGCAGUGACACGUGGACAGAAGGACGUGUGGACGCAGUGACACGUGGACAGAAGGACGGGUGGACGCAGUGACGUGUGGACAGAAGGACGUGUGGACAGAAGGACGGGUGGACGCAGUGACGUGAGGACAGAAGGACGGGUGGACAGAAGGACGGGUGGACGCAGUGACACGUGGACAGAAGGACGGGUGGACGCGGUGACGUGUGGACAGAAGGACGGGUGGACAGAAGGACGGGUGGACGCGGUGACGUGUGGACAGAAGGACGGGUGUAUGCAGUGUCUUGUGGACUGAUGGAUUGGUAAUAGCAGUGACGUGUGGACAGAAGGACGGUUGGACGCGGUGACGUGUGGACAGAAGGACGGGUGGACGCGUGACGUGUGGACAGGAAGGACGGGUAAACUCAGUGACGUAAGGACGGGUGGACGCGUUGACGUGUGGACAGAAGGACGGGUGGACGCGGUGACGUGUGGACGAAAGGACGGGUGGACGCAGGCUUCUUACCCAUCGGCUCCGUCACAGUCAGGAAGUUGAACACUGAGAACUUGUCUCUCUUCACUUUGGGAAGACCGACCAAACUGGACCUGCAGGACCAACAGAAGCUCAUCACCUGCUUCUGUACCAGUGCGUGUGUACUGUGCACGUCACGUGUGCACGUCACGUAUGUACCCGGUGUAGGGAUCCGGGACGUUGAACCUCUUGCAGAGCAGUUUGUCUGGAUGCCACUCAAACGUUUCUCUGGUCAGUUCACCGAACAUCUUCAUGUUUACAGCGGCCUGUUUGUCGUCGACGUCUCCCUGACGACCAAACAGACAAAGUUCUUUUUAAACACAUUUAGUCAUUUGAGUGAAUCUACAUUUUGAAAUGUUUUGAACUGAUAUUGUUUUACUUGAGUGUCUACAUGACGUCCACCUGUCCCU
ensembl:lncRNA